GCGGGCGGCCGCCUCAGGUACUAGGUGACUCUGAGUGGUGCCGGUCUCAGAGCCGCCUCGUGCCUCAGCGCGGGCUCCGC
rfam:Bombyx mori DNA, contig: Bm_scaf125_contig38614, strain: p50T/Dazao, build 2, whole genome shotgun sequence.